rnacentral:rRNA from 1 species
CCUACGGGUGGCAGCAGUGGGGAAUAUUGCACAAUGGGGGAAACCCUGAUGCAGCGACGCCGCGUGAGUGAAGACGUCUUUCUGUAUGUUAAACUCUAUCUGCAGGGAAGCAAAUUACGGUACCUGAUUAAUAAGCCCCGUCUAACUACGUGCCAGCUGCCGCGGGAAUACGUCGGGGGCAAGCGUUAUCCGGAUUUUCUGGGUGUAAAGGGAGCUUAGACGGGAUGACAAGUCUGGAGUGAAAUGCCGGGGCUUAACCCCGGAACUGCUUUGGAAACUGUGCAGCUAGAGUGCAGGAGAGGUAAGUGGAAUGCGUAGUGUAGCGGUGAAAUGCGUAGAUAUUAGGAGGAACACCAGUGGCGAAGGCGGCGUACUGGACUGUAACUGACGUUGAGGCUCGAAAGCGUGGGGAGCAAACAGGAUUAGAUACCCUUGUAGUC